GUCAGUCGGGGGGGAGGAAUGCAUGCAUGGCCAGGGUAGAGCUGCUGCUGUGGGAAACCCUGGAGCAGCAGGAGACAGAAUAGCGACACUGGGGUGACAAAAGUUGCCUGGAUGAAGCCCAGACAAUCCUGGGAUCUGCAUUCCUCUGGGAAUAAUUCCUUAUCAGGACCAAGAUGCCAGGUCCUCAAUGUUAAUGGAUCAAGCCAAGCAACAACUGAGUUUCAGACAAUAACUGCAGCAGCACCAGGUAGUCAAAUCCACAAGAACAG